GCCUUCACAUGCAAGUCGAGCGGAUGACAGGAGCUUGCUCCUGAAUUCAGCGGCGGACGGGUGAGUAAUGCCUAGGAAUCUGCCUGGUAGUGGGGGACAACGUUUCGAAAGGAACGCUAAUACCGCAUACGUCCUACGGGAGAAAGCAGGGGACCUUCGGGCCUUGCGCUAUCAGAUGAGCCUAGGUCGGAUUAGCUAGUUGGUGAGGUAAUGGCUCACCAAGGCGACGAUCCGUAACUGGUCUGAGAGGAUGAUCAGUCACACUGGAACUGAGACACGGUCCAGACUCCUACGGGAGGCAGCAGUGGGGAAUAUUGGACAAUGGGCGAAAGCCUGAUCCAGCCAUGCCGCGUGUGUGAAGAAGGUCUUCGGAUUGUAAAGCACUUUAAGUUGGGAGGAAGGGCAGUAAAUUAAUACUUUGCUGUUUUGACGUUACCGACAGAAUAAGCACCGGCUAACUCUGUGCCAGCAGCCGCGGUAAUACAGAGGGUGCAAGCGUUAAUCGGAAUUACUGGGCGUAAAGCGCGCGUAGGUGGUUCGUUAAGUUGGAUGUGAAAUCCCCGGGCUCAACCUGGGAACUGCAUUCAAAACUGUCGAGCUAGAGUAUGGUAGAGGGUGGUGGAAUUUCCUGUGUAGCGGUGAAAUGCGUAGAUAUAGGAAGGAACACCAGUGGCGAAGGCGACCACCUGGACUGAUACUGACACUGAGGUGCGAAAGCGUGGGGAGCAAACAGGAUUAGAUACCCUGUUAGUCCACGCC
rnacentral:rRNA from 1 species